AACGAACGCUGGCGGCAUGCCUAACACAUGCAAGUCGAACGAGACCUUCGGGUCCAGUGGCGCACGGGUGCGUAACGCGUGGGAACCUGCCCUUAGGUUCGGAAUAACUCCCCGAAAGGGGUGCUAAUACCGGAUAAUUUCUUCGGACCAAAGAUUUAUCGCCUUUGGAUGGGCCCGCGUUGGCUUAGCUGGUUGGUAGGGUAAAAGCCUACCAAGGCGACGAGCCAUAGCUGGUCUGAGAGGAUGAUCAGCCACACUGGGACUGAGCCACGGCCCAGACUCCUACGGGAGGCAGCAGUGGGGAAUAUUGGCCAAUGGGCGAAAGCAUGAUCCAGCAAUGCCGCGUGAGUGAUGAAGGCCUUAGGGUUGUAAAGCUCUUUUACCCGGGAUGAUAAUGACAGUACCGGGAGAAUAAGCUCCGGCUAACUCCGUG
rnacentral:rRNA from 1 species